rnacentral:rRNA from 1 species
AACGAACGUUGGCGGCGUGGAUUAGGCAUGCAAGUCGAGCGAGGAUGGCUGCGGUAGCAAUAUCGUAGCCAAACCGAGCGGCGUAAGGGGCAGUAAUGCGUGGGUCACGUACCUCCGGGACUGGGAUAGCCUCGAGAAAUCGAGGGUAAUACCAGAUAACGCUGAGAGGCCAAAGGUGUGAAUCCGCCUAGAGAGCGGCUCACGUGGUAUUAGCUAGUUGGUGAGGUAAUGGCUCACCAAGGCUGAGAUGCCUAGCGGGUGUGAGAGCACGACCCGCGCCACUGGCACUGAGACACUGGCCAGACACCUACGGGUGGCUGCAGUCGAGGAUCUUCGGCAAUGGGCGCAAGCCUGACCGAGCGACGCCGCGUGC